rnacentral:rRNA from 1 species
UACAGAGGUCCCAAGCGUUGUUCGGAUUCACUGGGCGUAAAGGGUGCGUAGGUGGUUAGGUAAGUCUGAUGUGAAAUCUCUGGGCUCAACCCAGAAACUGCAUUGGAUACUAUCUAGCUAGAGGAGUGGAGGGGGGACUGGAAUUUACGGUGUAGCGGUGAAAUGCGUAGAUAUCGUAAGGAAGACCAGUGGCGAAGGCGGGUCUCUGGACAGUUCCUGACGCUGAGGCACGAAGGCCAGGGGAGCAAACGGG